GACGAACGCUGGCGGCGUGCUUAACACAUGCAAGUCGAGCGAGGCCCCUCCUUCGGGAGGGUGUCCUAGCGGCGAACGGGUGAGUAACACGUGGGCAACCUGCCCCCGGCUCUGGGAUAACUCCAAGAAAUUGGGGCUAAUACCGGAUAUGACCGCUGACCGCAUGGUCUGGUGGUGGAAAGAUUUAUCGGCUGGGGAUGGGCCCGCGGCCUAUCAGCUUGUUGGUGGGGUAGUGGCCUACCAAGGCGACGACGGGUAGCCGGCCGGAGAGGGUGAACGGCCACACUGGGACUGAGACACGGCCCAGACUCCUACGGGUGGCAGCAGUGGGGAAUAUUGCGCAAUGGGCGGAAGCCUGACGCAGCGACGCCGCGUGGGGGAUGACGGCCUUCGGGUUGUAAACCUCUUUCAGCAGGGACGAAGCGAAAGUGACGGUACCUGCAGAAGAAGCACCGGCCAACUACGUGCCAGCCGCCGCGGUAA
rnacentral:rRNA from 1 species